rnacentral:rRNA from 1 species
UACGUAGGGUGCAAGCGUUGUCCGGAAUUAUUGGGCGUAAAGAGCUCGUAGGCGGUCUGUCGCGUCUGGUGUGAAAAUCCAGGGCUUAACCCUGGACCUGCAUCGGGUACGGGCAGACUAGAGUGUGGCAGGGGAGACUGGAAUUCCUGGUGUAGCGGUGGAAUGCGCAGAUAUCAGGAGGAACACCGGUGGCGAAGGCGGGUCUCUGGGCCAUUACUGACGCUGAGGAGCGAAAGCGUGGGGAGCGAACAGG